GAGUUUGAUCGUGGCUCAGAUUGAACGCUGGCGGCAUGCCUUACACAUGCAAGUCGAACGGCAGCAUGAUCUAGCUUGCUAGAUUGAUGGCGAGUGGCGAACGGGUGAGUAAUACAUCGGAACGUGCCCUGUAGUGGGGGAUAACUAGUCGAAAGAUUAGCUAAUACCGCACACGACCUGAGGGUGAAAGUGGGGGACCGCAAGGCCUCAUGCUAUAGGAGCGGCCGAUGUCUGAUUAGCUAGUUGGUGGGGUAAAGGCCCACCAAGGCGACGAUCAGUAGCUGGUCUGAGAGGACGAUCAGCCACACUGGGACUGAGACACGGCCCAGACUCCUACGGGAGGCAGCAGUGGGGAAUUUUGGACAAUGGGCGAAAGCCUGAUCCAGCAAUGCCGCGUGUGUGAAGAAGGCC
rnacentral:rRNA from 1 species